rnacentral:lncRNA from 1 species
AGCCUAUGGAGAUGCCCACAAAACUCAAGUAGAAAGAAACUGAGGGCCCUGGACCUCAGCUUUCACUGAGCUCCAGUUGACAUCAUCAAAUAACCAGCCAUGAGGGAAAUGUAAUUGUCUUCCUAUCUCCAGAAAAGAAACAGGCAAGAAACAGAUAACCCAGCAACCCCUCGCUCUGGGGCUUCCUACUCCAGUCCUACAGCCUUUAAGACUCAUCUUGUGUGAAGUGAAGGGAUACUAUAAGAAUUGCAUGACGAAAUGAAAGAUAAAGCACUUAGCAGCACACCUGGCCCAGAGCAAAUUCUCAGUAAAUGUUAGAUAAUAUUAGAAUUGUUAUUGUUAUGAUUAUUGUGCAUUUCCAUUGCUUGUAACUAAUUAAU